UACGUAGGUGGCAAGCGUUGUCCGGAUUUAUUGGGUUUAAAGGGUGCGUAGGCGGCCUUGUAAGUCAGUGGUGAAAUACUCCAGCCUAACUGGAGGGGUGCCAAUGAUACUGCAGGGCUUGAGUACAGAUGAGGUAGGCGGAAUUGACGGUGUAGCGGUGAAAUGCAUAGAUAUCGUCAAGAACACCGAUAGCGAAGGCAGCUUACGGGGCUGUAACUGACGCUGAGGCACGAAAGUGUGGGGAUCAAACAGG
rnacentral:rRNA from 1 species